rnacentral:misc_RNA from 1 species
AACGCACCUUGCGCCCUCUGGUAUUCCGGAGGGCAUGCCUGUUUGAGUGUCAUGAAACUCUCAACCCCUCGGGUUUUACGACCCGAUCGUGUUGGAUUUGGGCGCUGCCGCUUUGUUGCCGGCUCGCCUCAAAGGUCUUAGUGGGAAUAUCCGUGCCCAACGUCUGGCGUAAUAAGUUUCGCCUUUCUCGUGGCCGGUGACGUCCGCUCACAACCCUCAUAUUCUUUCGAUCUGACCUCAAAUCAGGUAGGGCUACCCGCUGAACUUAA